rnacentral:piRNA from 1 species
AAGCACCUGGAUUUCUGAAAUGGUU